GAUAAUACCUUACUACUUGGAUAACCGUGGUAAUUCUAGAGCUAAUACAUGCUGAAAAUCCCGACUUCGGAAGGGAUGUGUUUAUUAGAUAAAAAACCAAUGCCCUUCGGGGCUUUUUGGUGAUUCAUGAUAACUUUACGGAUCGCAUAGCCUUGCGCUGGCGACGGUUCAUUCAAAUUUCUGCCCUAUCAACUUUCGAUGGUAAGGUAUUGGCUUACCAUGGUUUCAACGGGUAACGGGGAAUUAGGGUUCGAUUCCGGAGAGGGAGCCUGAGAAACGGCUACCACAUCCAAGGAAGGCAGCAGGCGCGCAAAUUACCCAAUCCCGACACGGGGAGGUAGUGACAAUAAAUACUGAUACAGGGCUCUUUUGGGUCUUGUAAUUGGAAUGAGUACAAUUUAAACCUCUUAACGAGGAACAAUUGGAGGGCAAGUCUGGUGCCAGCAGCCGCGGUAAUUCCAGCUCCAAUAGCGUAUAUUAAAGUUGUUGCAGUUAAAAAGCUCGUAGUUGAAACUUGGGCCUGGCUGGCGGGUCCGCCUCACCGCGUGCACUCGUCCGGCCGGGCCUUCCUUCUGAAGAACCUCAUGCCCUUCACUGGGCGUGUUGGGGAAUCAGGACUUUUACUUUGAAAAAAUUAGAGUGUUCAAAGCAGGCCUUUGCUCGAAUACGUUAGCAUGGAAUAAUAAAAUAGGGCGUGCGUUUCUAUUUUGUUGGUUUCUAGAGACGCCGCAAUGAUUAACAGGAACAGUCGGGGGCAUCAGUAUUCAGUUGUCAGAGGUGAAAUUCUUGGAUUUACUGAAGACUAACUACUGCGAAAGCAUUUGCCAAGGAUGUUUUCAUUAAUCAGUGAACGAAAGUUAGGGGAUCGAAGACGAUCAGAUACCGUCGUAGUCUUAACCGUAAACUAUGCCGACUAGGGAUCGGGCGAUGUUCUUUUUCUGACUCGCUC
rnacentral:rRNA from 1 species